rnacentral:rRNA from 1 species
GACGAACGCUGGCGGCGUGCUUAACACAUGCAAGUCGAACGGAAAGGCCCUGCUUUUGUGGGGUGCUCGAGUGGCGAACGGGUGAGUAGCACGUGAGUAACCUGCCCUUGACUUUGGGAUAACUUCAGGAAACUGGGGCUAAUACCGGAUAGGAGCUCCUGCUGCAUGGUGGGGGUUGGAAAGUUUCGGCGGUUGGGGAUGGACUCGCGGCUUAUCAGCUUGUUGGUGGGGUAGUGGCUUACCAAGGCUUUGACGGGUAGCCGGCCUGAGAGGGUGACCGGCCACAUUGGGACUGAGAUACGGCCCAGACUCCUACGGGAGGCAGCAGUGGGAAUAUUGCACAAUGGGCGGAAGCCUGAUGCAGCAACGCCGCGUGCGGGAUGACGGCCUUCGGGUUGUAAACCGCUUUCGCCUGUGACGAAGCGUGAGUGACGGUAAUGGGUAAAGAAGCACCGGCUAACUACGUG